rnacentral:ncRNA from 1 species
CGCGUUUUUGCGCAGGCGGAGCUCGACCGCCCAUUGAAGCGAUGAUCGCGUUCAUCGACGACCAUCGGGCGCCCUACGGGGUCGAGCCGAUCUGCCGCCAGUUGCCGAUCGCCCCU